AUUAAAGUAGUUUAUAUAAAAUAUAGAAUUGUGGGUUCUUAGAACCUUAGGGCUUUAAUU
rnacentral:tRNA from 1 species